rnacentral:rRNA from 1 species
AAUGAACGUUGGCGGCGUGGAUUAGGCAUGCAAGUCGUACGAGAAUCGUAGCAAUACGAGGAAAGUGGCGGAAGGGAGAGGAUUACGUGGGAAUCUACCCUCAGAACUGGGAUAGCGGCGGGAAACUGCCCGUAAUACCAGAUAAUGUCUGUGGACCAAAGGUGUGAUUCCGUCUGGGGAUGAGCCCACGUCCUAUUAGCUAGUUGGCAGGGUAAUGGCCUACCAAGGCAAUGAUGGGUGGCGGGUGUGAGAGCAUGACCCGCCUCACUGGGACUGAGAACUGCCCAGACACCUACGGGUGGCUGCAGUCGAGAAUCUUCGGCAAUGAGCGCAAGCUUGACCGAGCGACGCCGCGUGCGGGAUGAAGGCCUUCGGGUUGUAAACCGCUGUCGUAGGGGAGCAAGAGAUGAGGGUACUCCCUCUGAUUUGAGCGAUCCUAGGAGGAAGGACGGGCUAAGUUCGUGCCAGCCGCCGCCGUAAGAC